UACGGAGGGUGCAAGCGUUAUCCGGAUUCACUGGGUUUAAAGGGUGCGUAGGUGGGCAGGUAAGUCAGUGGUGAAAUCUCCGGGCUUAACUCGGAAACUGCCAUUGACACUAUCUGUCUUGAAUACCGUGGAGGUCAGCGGAAUAUGUCAUGUAGCGGUGAAAUGCUUAGAUAUGACAUAGAACACCAAUUGCGAAGGCAGCUGGCUACACGAAUAUUGACGCUGAGGCACGAAAGCGUGGGGAUCAAACAGG
rnacentral:rRNA from 1 species